rnacentral:misc_RNA from 1 species
AAAAAAAAAAAAAAAAAAGGGAAAGGAAAAAGGAAAUUGAUAUCCAACACUUCCUGUACAUAGGGGCCUAAGAUUGUAGCCAGAAUACAUAUAGCUGCUGAAUGGAAUGAAUGAAUGAAUCUCAAUGCUCAUAUAUCAUCUGGCAACUGAAAGUUCUGAGAACCAAAAAUUUGAUGGGAAUUAUCUUGAACAAAGACAGCAAUACCACAUUUGCUGCUAUUGAAGCCAUCCCACAAGGAAAAAUUAACAGUUCCUGAAACUGUCUUCUUGGCAGAGAUGUCCUUGACCGUGCAGAGCUUUUCGAGCUUUCGAACAACGUAGUCGUUAGACAACAUACGCCCUUUGUUCUCUCCCUUUGGGCAGUCAGUCACCAAUCCACUCUCAUACAAAGCCACCAUUAUAUUUGCGCCAUUACUGUCAACUUUAGUUCUUAAAGCUCCUGACAAAUUGACUUGCAAGGAAUCUGAUGUAGGCCUAUGGAAGGUUGCCUGUUAAAACAAACUUGCAAUUAAUUGUCACCAUUAAGUUUAAUUAAAAUGCCAACAGGUGUCAUUGGUCUAACAAAUUAUAUAAAUUAAAAAUAAAAAUAAAGAAAAAGGGGCAAAGCUAACCUGAAAUGAGGGGGAAGGAAAUUUGGGGGCACUCAUGAUGGAAGACAAAAGAGCCUCCUCCUCAUUGGCCACAAACUGAGUCCUACCCUGGAUAACUACCUGUGGUGUAAACAUAGUGUCAAGCUUCAAUGCCUCAACGUAAGCCUUUUGCCUUACAGUCCAUUGGCUAGAGCCAAAAGGGUCCUUCCACCCCAUAUAGUCCCAAUAAUCUACAUGAAAUGCCAACACUAUCACCGGCGUUUCCAGGGCAAAGUCUCCUCUCCCUAACCUUGACACCAAUAAUUCAGCCUCCGGCGACGUCGCACACCCCUGUGAAGAGAAUAGCUCCACCAUAAUAGCACCUGCACGCCGCUGCUCCUCCGCUGAAGCAUCCACCGUCACGUUGCUUUUCCCCUUUCCAUGCACUUGGUUCCCGGAGGAGGAGGAAUAGUUGCACUUGCCAAAGCAGGCGAAGAGACGCGGCGCCAUUCUGCUGUAGCAGAACCCCGUCUCGCCCCCUUCACAAGAAAAAGAUUAACCAGAAGAAUUAAAUCAAGAACAAUGGAGAAAGAAAUAAAGAACCAAAGAUAGAAAAAGAGAAAGAUGGAAGAAGAGAAAGGUGAAUUACGUAAUGUGGGAAAUGAAUGGAAGGGAGGAUCGAGGGUGGAGAGAAAAUAAAGGAAAGAAGAAGGGGGGAUUUGUUGGAUUUUGAAUAUUUCUGUUGUUUGUAUUGUAUUUCUAUGUUUAGAUUGUUUUUCUUGUUUUUUCAGUCAAGAAGAAGAUGAAAGAAGAAGAUAUGACAGAUGGUUUGGUUCGGUUUGGCUGGGGACAGUUGCGUGCCGACACGAAUAUGUCGGUAACACGUUGUUAUUUGUCAGGUGCGGGUUGGUUGUCAGUGAGUGACAGAUGGCAUCUUUCUUUAGCUGGAGCCUGUCUGAGAUCCAAUCAUUCGUGGAUGUGGAGCAGGGAGGUUUUCUUUGACAAGGAAUCUUAUUACUUACAGGUAAAGAAAUAUUCACUUCAGUAGUUGGCUUGGCACCGACUUUUAGCUACGCUGUGUGCUGAAAUUUCUGUUGAGACA